rnacentral:rRNA from 1 species
AGCGAACGCUGGCGGCAGGCCUAACAUAUGCAAGUCGAACGAACUCUUCGGAGUUAGUGGCGGACGGGUGAGUAACACGUGGGAACGUGCCUUUAGGUUCGGAAUAACUCAGGGAAACUUGUGCUAAUACCGAAUGUGCCCUUAUGGGGAAAGAUUUAUCGCCUUUAGAGCGGCCCGCGUCUGAUUAGCUAGUUGGUGAGGUAAAGGCUCACCAAGGCGACGAUCAGUAGCUGGUCUGAGAGGAUGAUCAGCCACAUUGGGACUGAGACACGGCCCAAACUCCUACGGGAGGCAGCAGUGUGGAAUCUUGCGCAAUGGGCGAAAGCCUGACGCAGCCAUGCCGCGUGAAUGAUGAAGGUCUUAGGAUUGUAAAAUUCUUUCACCGGGGACGAUAAUGACGGUACCCGGAGAAGAAGCCCCGGCUAACUUCGUGCCAGCCGCCGCGGUAA